AUGAAAGGUCUGGGGAAAGAAAGAGGUCUGGGUGCUAAAAAACAUUGGCAAGUUAGGAAACUAUGGCACAGCGUAAUUUCUGUAUUGUGUUUGUAUUUCAGAUGUCUUUGGUGCUUGAUUCAGAAUAUGUCCAGAUACAUCACAGACAUUAAGCCUUUGCCGCCCAACAUAAAAGAUAGACUGAUUAAAAUAAUGAGUGUACUGGGACGGAUAACAGAUUCAAAUAUAAAUGAGAUUUUACAUCCCGAAGUCCAAACUCUGAAUCUACAGAGUUGUGAUGUCUCUGAUACUGCUCUCCUGCACCUGUGUAACUGCAGAAAACUGAAGAAACUAAAUUUAAAUUGCUUAAAAGGAAACAGAGUUUCCAUAACUUCUGAAGCUUUUUGGGGUUCUUCGUCAUCCACGUGAACACCCUGAAAUGUCUGCAGCAGUUUCACCAGGCCAUCC
rnacentral:lncRNA from 1 species